GUGAGGAAUAUUGGUCAAUGGGCGGGAGCCUGAACCAGCCAAGUCGCGUGAAGGAAGAAGGAUCUAUGGUUCGUAAACUUCUUUUGCAGGGGAAUAAAGUGCAGGACGUGUCCUGUUUUGUAUGUACCCUGAGAAUAAGGAUCGGCUAACUCCGUGCCAGCAGCCGCGGUAAUACGGAGGAUCCGAGCGUUAUCCGGAUUUAUUGGGUUUAAAGGGUGCGUAGGUGGUUUGAUAAGUCAGCGGUGAAAGUUUGCAGCUUAACUGUAAAAAUGCCGUUGAAACUGUCGGACUUGAGUGUAAAUGAGGUAGGCGGAAUGCGUGGUGUAGCGGUGAAAUGCAUAGAUAUCACGCAGAACUCCGAUUACGAAGGCAGCUUACUAAGCUACAACUGACACUGAAGCACGAAAGCGUGGGGAUCAAACAGGAUUAGAACCCCGGUAGUCC
rnacentral:rRNA from 1 species